rnacentral:sRNA from 3 species
AUAUCUCUCUGUACGGGAAGGAUGAGAAGCUUCGACUAAGGUUCGAUUCGAGCGCAGCGAGAAAGCGUUGCCGCAGGCAACGACCCGAAGG